AGCUAAUCUCAUAGAGUUUCAAUCCAAUUGAAAUGCCCAUGUUGCAUAGGAUUGUCUCGAGUAAUUUAAUUCAAUCUAAUCUUCCAUGUGAGUUUCCCAAGUAAUAUGACAUUCAUUGUUGGGCUCAAUAUGCUCCAAAUAAUCAGCACAACACAUUAAAACCAUUUAAUAAAUUGUCAAUACUCAAAUAUAGAAACUAUCACUAAACAGCUCCA
rnacentral:lncRNA from 1 species